GUGCACGUGGGCGCCGGCGUCGUCGGUCCUCACCUGGCCGUCGGUCUCGAUGGUGACGUGGACGACGCCGGUGCGAGAGUCGGCUGUGUACC
rnacentral:tRNA from 1 species